rnacentral:rRNA from 1 species
UGGAGCAUGUGGUUUAAUUCGAAGCAACGCGAAGAACCUUACCAGGUCUUGACAUCCCGAUGCUUAUUUCUAGAGAUAGAAAGUUACUUCGGUACAUCGGUGACAGGUGGUGCAUGGUUGUCGUCAGCUCGUGUCGUGAGAUGUUGGGUUAAGUCCCGCAACGAGCGCAACCCCUAUUGUUAGUUGCCAUCAUUCAGUUGGGCACUCUAGCGAGACUGCCGGUAAUAAACCGGAGGAAGGUGGGAUGACGUCAAAUCAUCAUGCCCCUUAUGACCUGGGCUACACACGUGCUACAAUGGUUGGUACAACGAGUUGCGAGUCGGUGACGGCGAGCUAAUCUCUUAAAGCCAAUCUCAGUUCGGAUUGUAGGCUGCAACUCGCCUACAUGAAGUCGGAAUCGCUAGUAAUCGCGGAUCAGCCAUGCCGCGGUGAAUACGUUCCCGGGCCUU